rnacentral:lncRNA from 1 species
GUCAGUGUCUCUGUCUCCAGAGGAAAGGGCAGGUUCCUGCCUGGUGUGACCGUCUCACCCGGCCUCUUCACGUCGCGCUCUGGGUAUUGGAGUCUACGGAUCCCACGCAAGAAAAUGCCGAGACUCUGGCUACUGCUGUUGCAAGGCCCUUGAUGGUGGACAGACCCCAGCACGGCCCUGGACAGAUUGUGAGGCACAGAGAAGUCACCUGCCACCUCCCCACCGUCAGAACAAUGAUGGCAGACACCACCAGGUCCUGAGGCUCUCCUGGCCUUUGGGCACUGUUCCUGCUGCCUUACAGACAUGAUCUCAUUGAACACUCACAACAUCAUAAGCCUCACUCGGGCAUCUAUGCCAGACACUGAGGGGACAGCAGAGAGCCACGCAGACAAAAACCCUGGCUGUCAGAGAAAGAGGUUGCGUUCUAGUGGGGGAAAUAGACAAAAUAAGGAACACACAUGGUACAGUUGUGUGUCACUUAACGGUAGGGAUAUGUUAUGAGAAAUGCGAAGGCAAUUUCAUCAUCGUGUGAACAUCAUAAUGUUAUAGGAGUUAUUAAGAAAUUAUUUUAGGCAGAUAGGGAAAGUGGUCCUUGGAAAGUUUUUGUUUCUUUUAAAGCAGCUAAAGAAAAGUUUCUUAUCUAGCAGGAAAGCUCCGGCUCUUAGAGCUAGGCCGGCAACCUCUGAUAUGCAAAUAAAUGCUGGCCAUUAGAAAAUGGGUCCACCCAAACAUGGCGAUUCUCGCCCUCUUCCUUGCCCUCACAUGUGCCUGGCAAUAUGGCGGCACCCCCAUAUCCCCAUGUGUGUAGAAUAUCAUGGCGCCCUGCAUUUGCAAAAAAAAAAAAAAAAAAAGUGUAUAUAUAAACUUCUGUUAAUCAAAAGUC